rnacentral:rRNA from 1 species
UACGAGGGGGGCAAGCGUUAUUCAAUUUAACUGGGCGUAAAGGGCGCGUAGGCGGCGUGGUAAGUCACUUGUGAAAUCUCCGAGCUUAACUCGGAACGGUCAAGUGAUACUGCUGUGCUAGAGUGCAGAAGGGGCAAUCGGAAUUCUUGGUGUAGCGGUGAAAUGCGUAGAUAUCUGGAGGAACACCGGUGGCGAAGGCGGCAUCCUGGACCGAUACUGACGCUGAGGAGCGAAAGCCAGGGGAGCAAACGGG